rnacentral:rRNA from 1 species
GAUGAACGCUAGCUACAGGCUUAACACAUGCAAGUCGAGGGGCAUCUAGGAAGAAAGACUUGACUUUCUUUGCUGGCGACCGGCGCACGGGUGAGUAACACGUAUCCAACCUGCCCUUUACUCGGGAUAGCCUUUCGAAAGAACGAUUAAUACCCGAUGGCAUAAUGAUUCCGCAUGGUUUCAUUAUUAAAGGAUUCCGGUAAAGGAUGGGGAUGCGUUCCAUUAGGUUGUUGGU